GACGAACGCUGGCGGCGUGCUUAACACAUGCAAGUCGAACGGUGAACGAGGGAGCUUGCUCCCUCCGGAUCAGUGGCGAACGGGUGAGUAACACGUGAGCAAUCUGCCCCGAACUCUGGGAUAAGCGUUGGAAACGACGUCUAAUACCGGAUACGACUCGGGAGGGCAUCCUCUCCGCGUGGAAAGAACUUCGGUUCGGGAUGAGCUCGCGGCCUAUCGGCUUGUUGGGGCGGUAACGGCUCACCAAGGCGACGACGGGUAGCCGGCCUGAGAGGGUGACCGGCCACACUGGGACUGAGAAACGGCCCAGACUCCUACGGGAGGCAGCAGUGGGGAAUAUUGCACGAUGGGCGCAAGCCUGAUGCAGCAACGCCGCGUGAGGGACGACGGCCUUCGGGUUGUAAACCUCUUUUAGCAGGGAAGAAGCGAAAGUGACGGUACCUGCAGAAAAAGCACCGGCUAACUACGUG
rnacentral:rRNA from 1 species